rnacentral:rRNA from 1 species
UGGGGAAUAUUGCACAAUGGGCGCAAGCCUGAUGCAGCCAUCCCGCGUGUGCGAUGAAGGCCUUCGGGUUGUAAAGCACUUUUGGCAGGAAAGAAACGUCGCGGGUUAAUACCCCGCGAAACUGACGGUACCUGCAGAAUAAGCACCGGCUAACUACGUGCCAGCAGCCGCGGUAAUACGUAGGGUGCAAGCGUUAAUCGGAAUUACUGGGCGUAAAGCGUGCGCAGGCGGUUCGGAAAGAAAGAUGUGAAAUCCCAGAGCUUAACUUUGGAACUGCAUUUUUAACUACCGGGCUAGAGUGUGUCAGAGGGAGGUGGAAUUCCGCGUGUAGCAGUGAAAUGCGUAGAUAUGCGGAGGAACACCGAUGGCGAAGGCAGCCUCCUGGGAUAACACUGACGCUCAUGCACGAAAGCGUGGGGAGCAAACAGGAUUAGAUACCCUGGUAGUCCACGCCCUAAACGAUGUCAACUAGCUGUUGGGGCCUUCGGGCCUUGGUAGCGCAGCUAACGCGUGAAGUUGACCGCCUGGGGAGUACGGUCGCAAGAUUAAACUCAAAGGAAUUGACGGGGUCAUAGCUGUUUCCUG